GUGCCAGCAGCCGCGGUAAUACAGAGGGUGCGAGCGUUAAUCGGAAUUACUGGGCGUAAAGCGUGCGUAGGCGGUUAAGUCAGUCGGAUGUGAAAGCCCAAGGCUUAACCUUGGAACUGCAUUCGAUACUGCUUAGCUAGAGUACAGUAGAGGGAAGCGGAAUUCCUAGUGUAGCGGUGAAAUGCGUAGAUAUUAGGAAGAACACCAGUGGCGAAGGCGGCUUCCUGGACUGAUACUGACGCU
rnacentral:rRNA from 1 species